rnacentral:rRNA from 2 species
AAAAAAGGUAAGCUACUAAGAGCGAAUGGUGGAUGCCUUGACUGGUAAAGGCGAUGAAGGACGUACUAGACUGCGAUAAGCUACGGGGAGCUGUCAAGAAGCUUUGAUCCGUAGAUUUCCGAAUGGGGCAACCCAAUGUAUAGAGAUAUACAUUACCUAUAUAGGAGCGAACGAGGGGAAUUGAAACAUCUUAGUACCCUCAGGAAAAGAAAUCAAUAGAGAUUG